GGUUAAGCUAAUUCAAUCCUAUACUCUUUGACUUCUACAAAGAAAGCAUAAAGUUCGCUCAUGAUUGAGUUGAAAUGGAACUAAACAGUGAAACCAUCAAAAAAGAGUUUAAGGUGAUGACUGAGGUUGGUAAAAGGAACUGGUUCAGAAAUCGCGCUUAUUGAGUUGUAGCACAAAUUGCUAUCAGCCCUAAGAAAGAACCAGAAGUUAUAACAGCUGAGGUGCAGGCUGUGGUGAACCAAUUCUCAUUGGUAUUCUCAAAAACCAAGGCCUACCUCCAUCCAGGUUUAAUAACUACCGUAUUCCAAUAAAAGAAGGAUCACAACCUUUCAAACUCAGGCCAUAUGGAUGCCACAUAGAAAGCAGAAAUUGAAAGCAUGGUCAAAGAAAUCAAGGAAAAUGGGAUAAUUCAACCAAGCAAUAGCCCUUAAGCCUCUCCUGGACUCUUGGUCUCGAAAAAGGAUGGAACUUGGAGAUUUUGGGUAGAUUAUAGAUAGUUGAAUAACUUCACUAUCAAAAAACAAAUAUUCAUGCCCUUAAUUGAUGAAUUGCUAGAUGAAUUAAAGAGUACAAAAUGGUUUACAAAGAUUUGAGAGUAGGGCACCACCAAAUCAGGUGGCAGAAGAGGACAUCCACAAAACUGCUUUCAAAACACGAGGGGCUGUAUGAAUUUAGAGCAAUGCCCUUUGGGCUUACCAAUGCCCCAGCUACCUUUCAAUGCCCAAUGAAUGAAGUCUUCAAGGAGAAACUUAGAAAAUAUGUCUUAAGUCUUCUUUGAAAACAUUUUGAUCUAUAGCCCUAACCUAGACACUCACUGU
rnacentral:lncRNA from 1 species